rnacentral:ncRNA from 1 species
CAUCGUGAGGUGGAAUCUGAAGGAAGCAAAUGGCAAAACAUAGCUUUGACGAACAGAAAUCUGGUAGUAGGCAUAGUCAACUUGGGUAACCUAGCUAGAGAUAGAAUAGCCCGAAGUCUCGAACAGAAGUGUGAUUAUGUAAACCAGGCAGAGCUAUGGGAAAGGGU